rnacentral:rRNA from 1 species
AUUGAACGCUGGCGGCAGGCCUAACACAUGCAAGUCGAACGAACUCUUCGGAGUUAGUGGCGGACGGGUGAGUAACACGUGGGAACGUGCCCUUUGGUACGGAAUAACUCAGGGAAACUUGAGCUAAUACCGUAUGUGCCCUUCGGGGGAAAGAUUUAUCGCCAUUGGAGCGGCCCGCGUCUGAUUAGCUAGUUGGUGAGGUAAUGGCUCACCAAGGCGACGAUCAGUAGCUGGUCUGAGAGGAUGACCAGCCACAUUGGGACUGAGACACGGCCCAAACUCCUACGGGAGGCAGCAGUGGGGAAUCUUGCGCAAUGGGCGAAAGCCUGACGCAACCAUGCCGCGUGGAUGAUGAAGGUCUUAGGAUUGUAAAAUCCUUUCACCGGUGAAGAUAAUGACUGUAGCCGGAGAAGAAGCCCCGGCUAACUUCGUGCCAGCCGCCGCGGUAAUAC